CUCUCUCUCUCUCUCUCUCUCUCCCUCCCUCUCUCUCUUCCGUGAAGCCCCCCGGGGACUCGAGCGUGUCGGCGACCGAUUCAGCGUUAAGACCGCGACGCCAUUCGUACGCGAGGAUCUCGCGACUAAUCGCCUACCUCCUCGUCCCCGGACGCUAGCUUCCUGUGAACCCUAUCUCCCGAUUUCCGUCGAUCGGGAGAGAGUGAGAUGGCUUCAAUCGCAUUCGCCGCCUCCGCCGCCCCCUCCGUCGUCUCCCGUCGUCUGCCGGGAUUCGGGGCUUCUGGCGAGACCAAGCUCUAUCGAUGCCGCUUCUCUUCUUCCUCCUUCUCGCGUAUGCCCGUUAGAUGCAAAUUGCUUGAGCCACUGAGGUCUGUCAAUGGAGCAUUACCGCAUAUUCCUGUCCUGAAUGAUCAGAUGUUACCUGGCCUCUUGACAACACCACACCUGCAAGAGAGGCACAAUACGCAUGACACGAGGCUGCGUAUCUUCUCAGGCACUGCAAAUCCUUCACUUGCUCAGGAAAUUGCAAGUUAUUUGGGUCUGGAACUUGGAAAAAUCAAGAUAAAGCGGUUUGCUGAUGGCGAAAUUUAUGUUCAAUUACAAGAGAGUGUUAGAGGAUGUGAUGUAUUUCUUGUGCAGCCAACAUGUCCACCAGCAAAUGAAAAUCUUAUGGAACUCUUGAUAAUGAUCGAUGCAUGCCGCAGAGCAUCUGCAAAAAAUAUUACUGCAGUUAUACCUUAUUUUGGUUAUGCUAGAGCUGACAGAAAGACUCAAGGGCGUGAAUCCAUUGCGGCAAAACUUGUAGCAAACUUGAUUACAGAAGCAGGUGCAAACCGUGUACUUGCUUGUGAUCUUCAUUCUGGGCAGUCCAUGGGAUACUUUGACAUUCCGGUCGAUCAUGUGUAUGGUCAGCCUGUGAUACUUGAUUAUCUGGCCAGCAAGACCAUUUGUUCAGAUGACUUGGUAGUGGUCUCUCCAGAUGUUGGAGGUGUAGCCAGGGCACGUGCUUUUGCCAAAAAGUUAUCAGAUGCACCUUUAGCCAUUGUGGAUAAAAGGCGUCAUGGGCAUAAUGUUGCCGAGGUGAUGAAUCUGAUUGGUGAUGUUAGAGGAAAAGUAGCUGUAAUGGUUGAUGACAUGAUAGAUACUGCUGGAACAAUUGCCAAAGGUGCAGCUUUGUUGCACCAAGAAGGAGCAAGAGAAGUCUAUGCUUGCAGCACACAUGCUGUUUUCAGCCCUCCUGCAAUCGAGAGGUUGUCAAGUGGACUAUUUCAAGAAGUUAUAAUUACUAACACUAUCCCUGUGUUGGAGCAAAAGAAUUUCCCUCAGUUGACAGUUUUGUCGGUGGCUAACCUUUUAGGCGAGACCAUCUGGCGUGUUUAUGAUGAUUGCUCUGUGAGUAGCAUCUUCCAGUGAUUGAAUUACUCCGAAGGAGGGUAAAGGAGGGGGAAAGAAGAAAACACAUGCUCCAAAAUUUGGUUGGUUACGAACCCUAUUCGAGCUUGGACAUUGACUGAUCUCGUUGAAGAUGGAAAGUGUUUUGAGCAGCAGCAAUUGCCUUCAUCUUGUCUCCUUGAAUUUCAACUGCAAUAUUCCUACAAUAUUCCUACCCGGAGUUUAGUUUCUAAAAGGUGAUGGUUUCCUCUUUUAACAUGCGAGCUGCAUGCAGUACCAGCUCCGUGAUGGGUUGCUGCCUACAAUGUUAAGAACUACAUGUUUGUGUUAUUUUUCUUUCUCCAUAGGUUUUGGUGCACAUCAAAUUCCAGUAAAUAGUCUAAGAAAAGAUUUUGUUGCUUGUUAACGUGUCCCCAUGCAUAGGGCAAGAUUGUUGCUUGAAUCUGUAUGGGCUCUAUAAGUUUCACUCAGACCUAUGUGUUGACUAUUGGCACGGUUUAGUUGGUAAGCAUAUAUGUCAAUAUGGAGUUGGGAAUAUAUUGUAAUGUUUUGUGAGGAUCCCAGUGUAGUGGUUUGAUACUAAAAUCUAUAUCGAGUAAUCUCCAUGGUUUUGCAUAGAGAAUAAAAUGAUGAACAAAGGUUAUAUCCU